AGCGAACGCUGGCGGCAGGCUUAACACAUGCAAGUCGAGCGCCCCGCAAGGGGAGCGGCAGACGGGUGAGUAACACGUGGGAACGUACCCUUUGGUUCGGAACAACCCAGGGAAACUUGG
rnacentral:rRNA from 1 species